GGAUAACCUACCCUUAGGACUGGGAUAACCCUGGGAAACUGGGGCUAAUACCGGAUAGGCAAUUAUUCCUGCAAUGGUUUUUUGUUUAAAUGUUUUUUCGCCUAAGGAUGGGUCUGCGGCCGAUUAGGUAGUUGGUUAGGUAAUGGCUUACCAAGCCGUUGAUCGGUACGGGUUGUGAGAGCAAGAGCCCGGAGAUGGAACCUGAGACAAGGUUCCAGGCCCUACGGGGUGCAGCAGGCGCGAAACCUCCGCAAUGUGAGAAAUCGCGACGGGGGGAUCCCAAGUGCCAUUCUUAACGGGAUGGCUUUUCAUUAGUGUAAAGAGCUUUUGGAAUAAGAGCUGGGCAAGACCGGUGCCAGCCGCCGCGGUAACACCGGCAGCUCUAGUGGUAACAAUUUUUAUUGGGCCUAAAGCGUCCGUAGCCGGUUUAAUAAGUCUCUGGUGAAAUCCUGUAGCUUAACUGUGGGAAUUGCUGGAGAUACUAUUAGACUUGAGACCGGGAGAGGUUAGAGGUACUCCCAGGGUAGAGGUGAAAUUCUGUAAUCCUGGGAGGACCGCCUGUUGCGAAGGCGUCUAACUGGAACGGUUCUGACGGUGAGGGACGAAAGUUAGGGGCGCGAACCGGAUUAGAUACCCGGGUAGUCCUAACUGUAAACGAUGCGGACUUGGUGUUGGGGUGGCUUUGAGCUGCUCCAGUG
rnacentral:rRNA from 1 species